GGUGAAACUGCGAAUGGCUCAUUAAAUCAGUUAUCGUUUAUUUGAUAGUACCUUACUACUUGGAUAACCGUGGUAAUUCUAGAGCUAAUACAUGCUAAAAACCCCGACUUCGGAAGGGGUGUAUUUAUUAGAUAAAAAACCAAUGCCCUUCGGGGCUCCUUGGUGAUUCAUAAUAACUUAACGAAUCGCAUAGCCUUGUGCUGGCGAUGGUUCAUUCAAAUUUCUGCCCUAUCAACUUUCGAUUGUAUGGUAUUGGCUUACAAUGGUUUCAACGGGUAACGGGGAAUUAGGGUUCUAUUCCGGAGAGGGAGCCUGAGAAACGGCUACCACAUCCAAGGAAGGCAGCAGGCGCGCAAAUUACCCAAUCCCGACACGGGGAGGUAGUGACAAUAAAUACUGAUACAGGGCUCUUUUGGGUCUUGUAAUUGGAAUGAGUACAAUUUAAAUCCCUUAACGAGGAACAAUUGGAGGGCAAGUCUGGUGCCAGCAGCCGCGGUAAUUCCAGCUCCAAUAGCGUAUAUUAAAGUUGUUGCAGUUAAAAAGCUCGUAGUUGAACCUUGGGUUUGGUUGGUCGGUCCGCCUCACCGCGUGCACUGAUCCGACCGAAUCUUUCCUUCUGGGGAACCGUAUGCCCUUCACUGGGUGUGCUGGGGAACCAGGACUUUUACUUUGAAAAAAUUAGAGUGUUCAAAGCAGGCCUAUGCUCGAAUACAUUAGCAUGGAAUAAUAGAAUAGGACGUGUGGUUCUAUUUUGUUGGUUUCUAGGACCGCCGUAAUGAUUAAUAGGGAUAGUCGGGGGCAUCAGUAUUCAAUUGUCAGAGGUGAAAUUCUUGGAUUUAUUGAAGACUAACUACUGCGAAAGCAUUUGCCAAGGAUGUUUUCAUUAAUCAGUGAACGAAAGUUAGGGGAUCGAAGACGAUCAGAUACCGUCGUAGUCUUAACCAUAAACUAUGCCGACUAGGGAUCGGGCGGUGUUAUCUUUUUGACCCGCUCGGCACCUUACGAGAAAUCAAA
rnacentral:rRNA from 1 species